GGGUAGACAGGCUUCAGGGGCAGCACAGCUUGCACCUGAGGGGCCUGACCUCCUGCAGACCUGGUAACAUAGUGAGCAAUCCCUGGUAGGCAGACCCUGUCUCCUUCUACAGAGCUGGAGGGGAUCAUGACCUGACCUCCCAUCAGCCCAGCCAGCACUCGGCGCCGACAGAGCUCUCCACUCACUGCCUGUUCCAGAUGUACCAGGUAGCCAACUCACAGCAGAGCUCAGCUGGGCCUGACUGCUGAAGGAAGGAAAAGGAACCUUCUCAGACCCUUUCAUUCCUCUCCCACCCUACUGUUUGUCAUAUGAGUCUCACCGUGCCAUCAUGCCAAGAAGCAUGACAGAGGAACAGCGCUCCAGAGGGGAGCAGGGGACCUUCUCAGUGGCCCGCUCCCACAGCAGCUGGGUCACUCCUGGUUUCAAUUCGUCCUUCUGCACAAACUCACAGAGCUAAGAAGAAAAGAAAUAGGGCUUAGGCCAAAAAAUAAUUCCCCAAUCCUUGGUCCACUGCUCUAAAGACAAGAUUGAAAACCUCAAGUUGGUAAAAGCUUUACUUAGGAGUGGAAAAGGAAGAAGGCGGCUCAAAAUAUAAAGUAUGGACUUGGAGAGGUACUUCUCUCACCAUUCUCUGCUUUUCUGCUCUCAUGCCUUCAAAACUAGGUUUAUUAUGGUGAUACAUCGAAGCUAGCCUUUUGAGUUCUGUGUGGAACUCAUAGUUUUGAUUACAUUCUGGAGAUUUCUAGUAGGUUUUCUUGCUGUCAUCACAUUAGACUCAUGUCUAAAAUGGAAGCCAACAUCCUUCCCUGCCUUUCAUUUUGCCAACGGCACCUAUGUCUCUAGUUACAUAUGCUUGAAAUCUGUCACCUAAUUUUUUAUGAAUCAGUCACUCAGUCCUAUUUUUCCUUUAAAAUUUGUCUUCCAUUAAGGCCAAUUCUGUAGCUGUUCCUUCAGUCCUGAGUCUAGCCCCUGGUCACUGCACACCUACUGCAGCCCCCUCUCAACCAGCCUACACGCUACUGCUGCAUCAGCAUCCCCACACAUCUAUUCAUCACACAGGCUUUUGCUGCUCGUCUUUUUUGUUUGUUUUUGGUUUUUUGGUUUGUUUUGGUGGCUGGCUGGUACAGGGGUCUGAACCCCUGACUUUGGUGUUACAGCACCAUGCUCUAACCAACUGAGCUAAGUGGCCAGCCCCCUCACUGUUUUUGAAACAUCUCUCCUUUGCCUAUUGCAGGGGCUCUUCACCAGUAGUCAGCCUGAGAUCUCAGCCAGUUGGCACUGCCAGGCUCUUUUCUUUUCCCCAGUGAGGACAAAAAUGUGGCUGGUAGUAGUGCUCCUCCCAGUGGAAGCUGGAGGUCAGCACCACCUCCACUUUUUGUCCCCAUGAUGCAAAUACUUCAAAGCAGAUUUGCCUCACUAAAAUGCUGGGGUCCCUGGCUAACAAGGUUAAAAUACUAGACUUUUUUUUUUUUUUU